rnacentral:tRNA from 1 species
GAUCACGUAGCUCAUCCAGUUCACGGCGGGCUUUUAACCCGUAGGUCCCGGGUUCGAAUCCCGGCGGGCCCG